AACGAACGCUGGCGGCAUGCCUAACACAUGCAAGUCGAACGAGACCUUCGGGUCUAGUGGCGCACGGGUGCGUAACGCGUGGGAAUCUGCCCUUGGGUUCGGAAUAACAGUUGGAAACGACUGCUAAUACCGGAUGAUGACGUAAGUCCAAAGAUUUAUCGCCCAAGGAUGAGCCCGCGUAGGAUUAGCUAGUUGGUGAGGUAAAGGCUCACCAAGGCGACGAUCCUUAGCUGGUCUGAGAGGAUGAUCAGCCACACUGGGACUGAGACACGGCCCAGACUCCUACGGGAGGCAGCAGUGGGGAAUAUUGGACAAUGGGCGAAAGCCUGAUCCAGCAAUGCCGCGUGAGUGAUGAAGGCCUUAGGGUUGUAAAGCUCUUUUACCCGGGAUGAUAAUGACAGUCCCGGGAGAAUAAGCUCCGGCUAACUCCGUG
rnacentral:rRNA from 1 species